rnacentral:rRNA from 1 species
GACGAAGGAUGCAAGCGUUAUCCGGAUUCAUUGGGUUUAAAGGGUGCGUAGGCGGACUGAUAAGUCAGUGGUGAAAUCUCUUUGCUUAACAAAGAAACUGCCAUUGAUACUGUCGGUCUAGAGUAUAGAUGACGUUGGCGGAAUAUGACAUGUAGUGGUGAAAUACUUAGAUAUGUCAUAGAACACCGAUUGCGAAGGCAGCUAACGAAACUAUAACUGACGCUGAGGCACGAAAGUGCGGGAUCAAACAGGA